GUUCCUACGGGAGGCAGCAGUGAGGAAUAUUGGUCAAUGGGCGCGAGCCUGAACCAGCCAAGUCGCGUGAGGGAAGACGGUCCUAUGGAUUGUAAACCUCUUUUGUCGGGGAGCAAAAGAGGCCACGUGUGGCGUUCCGAGAGUACCCGAAGAACAAGCAUCGGCUAACUCCGUGCCAGCAGCCGCGGUAAUACGGAGGAUGCGAGCGUUAUCCGGAUUUAUUGGGUUUAAAGGGUGCGCAGGCGGCAGAUC
rnacentral:rRNA from 1 species